UUUGGUGUAGGAGCACUACUAAAUGAUCUGUUUCUAGGAUGAUUAUCAGGUGAAAUUUCAGGAGCCCUUGGAUGGAUGAUUGGUGAAAUUUCAGGUGCGCUUGAGUUGAUAACUGGUGAAGUUUCAGGUGUACUCGGGUGGACAACUGGUGACUUAUGCGGCAAAUUCUUUGAAGGAGCUGUAUCUGGAACCAGGUAUAGUGAAAUACCAUUGCUUUAGGACAAAAAUAAACCUGAAAUUGUUAAGCACAACAAAAUCCAGUGAGUUAUGAAUGUAGUGCACCUGGAACAGAUGCAGAAGGCUGUGCAAUUGUUUCAUUUCUCUGAGAAGCAUUUGGUGGCACAGGUUGUUCAUUUCCUUCAGCAGUCAAGGGGGGAGGUACUGUGUUAUAUGGUGAAAUUUCAGGAGCCCUUGGAUGGAUGAUUGGUGAAAUUUCAGGUGCGCUUGAGUUGAUAACUGGUGAAGUUUCAGGUGUACUCGGGUGGACAACUGGUGACUUAUGCGGCAAAUUCUUUGAAGGAGCUGUAUCUGGAAC
rnacentral:lncRNA from 1 species